rnacentral:misc_RNA from 1 species
AAUUAUCAAAAUUGUCACGAUAGUGGUGAUUUUGGAUUAUGGGAGUUGCAGGACCAUUGUUAGAGGGUCAAGCUCUCCUGAAAUGGAUUAGUAGAGCAAAAUGGAACUCUGUUGGUGUGAUAAGGAAAUUGAUCGUCAGAAAGAGUAACCAAAAAAGGCUUUGCUAUGUUGUUAUGAAAUGAUUUUCAA